rnacentral:hammerhead_ribozyme from 1 species
AUCCAUCUGAAGAGUUCAAGAUAGGACGAAACACGCGAUCUGGAU